rnacentral:rRNA from 1 species
UAGGGAAUCUUCGGCAAUGGACGAAAGUCUGACCGAGCAACGCCGCGUGUGUGAAGAAGGUUUUCGGAUCGUAAAACCCUGUUGUCAGAGAAGAACAAGGACGUUAGUAACUGAACGUCCCCUGACGGUAUCUAACCAGAAAGCGACGGCUAACUACGUGCCAGCAGCCGCGGUAAUACGUAGGUGGCAAGCGUUGUCCGGAUUUAUUGGGCGCAAAGCGAGCGCAGGCGGUUUCUUAAGUCUGAUGUGAAAGCCCCCGGCUAAACCGGGGAGGGUCAUUGGAAACUGGGAGACUUGAGUGCAGAAGAGGGGAGUAGAAUUCCAUGUGUAGCGGUGAAAUGCGUAGAUAUAUGGAGGAACACCAGUGGCGAAGGCGACUCUCUGGUCUGUAGCUGACGCUGAGGCUCGAAAGCGUGGGGAGCAAACAGG